rnacentral:lncRNA from 1 species
UCUAGGUUAUUUCUCUCUCCUAAGAUUUUCUAAAAUUUUGAGAAGAAUGAUGAUGAAUUUAAAUGAUUCUAGUGAUGGAUUUUUGAUCUGUGAUCGCCGGACGGUACAACGACACCCACUUUGAUCAGAUUAGCUAUUUUUAAGAUUCUAUUUUUCAUGAUUUUAUUGAAUUAUCCACAUGAUAAUCUCAUCAUGAUUUGAUCUGAUCGA